UUCACGGCAAUCUUGGACCGUGAUCUGAAACAUGUCAGUGAAGAGUAUUCGUGUCGUUUUCAGAGCGUAGAGCCACUUCGAUCUCUCUGUGAAAGGGAAGUCCAUUUCACCGACCUAGAUGACGUCUGCUGCCAGGCGGCUGCUGGAAAUCGAGUCUCCGUGACGCAUAAAGCAAAUCAAAGGCUUCAUAUUGCCUUCUCUAAGUGCACGCCUGCAACAGGUUCCUAAACAUUCCCCAUAAUGUUUGCUGGUCAGGUGCCCCCAUGUGAAAACACCUGAAGUGGAAAUGGCUAUGCCGUCCAGCAGAUUAAACAUCAUCCUGCCCAUGAGUGUCACACUAACAGUGACCGCCCUCAGGACACCUCCACAAGAUAUGU